AGACGGAGGGAGCAAGCGUUGCUCGGAAUCACUGGGCGUAAAGGGCGUGUAGGCGGGACAGCAAGUCGGGUGUGAAAGCCCUGGGCUCAACCCAGGAAGGGCAUUCGAUACUACUGUUCUUGAGUAUGACAGAGGAAAGCGGAAUUCCCGGUGUAGCGGUGAAAUGCGUAGAUAUCGGGAAGAACACCUGUGGCGAAGGCGGCUUUCUGGGUCACAACUGACGCUGAGGCGCGAAAGCUAGGGGAGCGAACGGGAUUAGAAACCCCUGUAGUCC
rnacentral:rRNA from 1 species